CUGCUGAGCUGAGAUUAAAAUAAGUUUAAAAAAAAAGUUAGGAUGAGAAAAGAGAGAAUGGGAACGCCUACAAAUGGAUACUGGAGAAAAGGACAAAGAUGAUUUAAGAAGAAACCCAGAAAUAAAGUACUUGUUGAGCAUUUGUGUGGAAGAAAGAAGACGAAGACUAGAUGUGAGAAAACGAUAAUCACGAGGUUAUAUAUAUUAUCAGAAGAUCUUAUCUAUUGGCUAUUGCAUGUUUUUUGGAUAAAAACAAAGAGAGAUCAAAGAGAGCAAAUGCAUGUAAACCGGUGUGUCUGAGAUUUUAAAUGAAGCUACUAGUAAGUAAUAAGAAAGGAAAAAGAAGCCGAAGCAGAAGCUCUU